GUGGAUGUCACCCGUUAUUCUCAUAGAAUCCUGUGUGCUCUGACAAGGAGUUUAACAGGUUGUUUUAGGAGCUAUCUGAAAACAAACUACUAAACAGAAGGAAAUUGAUUGAUGCACUAACCAUUUCAAAGAAUCAUUCACUCCAGCAAGUGUUUUUCCAGGGGCAAGGUCCCAGGAAAUCCAUAAACUGUGGUUUAGUGCAGAGUUUCUCACCCUCGCUUGGCUGGCACGCUGGCUGGCCAAGUGCCUACUGAAGAGGAGGACCUGUGCGUGCGGGGAACACUGACAGAUGCACAAACCCUCACCCAGUCUGAUAACAAAACGUCUCCAGUCAUUCCUAAGUGUCUCCUGGCCAUCUGAUUUGCGCAAGUAUGAGACUAGAUGUAAAAGUUAUUUCUUCCCACUUCUCUACACAUCCAGAGAGCCAUUGUGGAUUUGUAACUUCCCUGACAGGAAUGAAGGGAUUCUAAACAAAUACUGCUAUCCCUGUCUUCGAGGGGUCAGACUCUUGAGACAAUAACAACCCCCCCAAAAAAAAGAAAACUGGAAUUCCCCAGGAAUCUGAUGCCAGAAGGGCUGAAGCCCUGAGCCAGUCAGAGCAGGAAAUUGUCUCUUGAAAAGAGAUUUUUACAGGGUUCCAGCAGCUGCUCAGAUCACCAUGAAGGAAAGGAGGAAGCUGAGGAGACCGGAUGGGUCAAAGAAGGAGUGACGCCAAGCAGACCCGGAAGUGACGCCAGGGGAAAGCAGUGUGAAGACAGCAGAGAAGCCUUUUGCAAGUGAGGAUGAGAACCCUUGCCAGAAACCAACCUUGGCACCUCAGCCUUGAACCUCUGGUCUCCAGAAGUGUUGGAAAAUAAGUGUCUGUCCCAUCGCCAACUCUGUGGUAGUCUUUAAGAGCAACCUAAGAAGACUAAUGCACUACAGAACUCAGCAAUUAAGUAAAUCAGAAAACAAAACAGAACGAGUACAAGGUAAGGUAGGCAAGAAACAGCAUGAUGUACCCAGCAGGAGAAAACACAGAUCGUCUGAGCAAGAAGCACAUCACAGUUUGGCAUCUUAAGACUCCACAGACAAAAUUGUGUGCACAGUCAAACACAAGUGCUUUGAGACACUGACAUCUAAGCAGAGGUGUCUGGGAUAGUUACCCAGUUAGGAGAGGAUUGGAACUGGGGAGGGCAAUGGUCAAGGGGAUGUUGUAUCUUGUGCUAUCUGGAGGGUUUUAAAAUAUAUAGUAUUUAUUAAUUCUUUGAGAAUUUCACCCCAUGUGUUUUGAUCACAUUCACCUCCGCUCCUUCCCUUAACUUCUCCUGAUCUGCCCAACCACACUUCCCAGCUUCCUGUCCUCUCCUCCUCUUGUUUUCAAUUUUUUGAGGCAAGGUUACUCUGUAUAUCCCUGGAUGUUCUGGAACUCACUCUAUAAACCUGGCUGGCCUCUAACUCAGAGAUCCACCUGCCUCUGCCUCCUGAGUGCUGGAAUUAAAGUCACUUUUUCUUUUUUAACUUACAGAGUCCAAUUAGUGCUUCCCAUAUACUCUAUCUGUUGUUUUGGGGCAAUUCAGCUGAUGUGAAGAGAUGGUUCAGUCAGUAAAGUUCUUGCUGUGAGAGCACAAGAGCCAGAGUUUGAUCUCCAGCACACACAAAAAUGCGAGCAUCGGCAAGUGACCGAAAUCUCCGUGUUAUGGAGUUGGAGGUAGGAAGAUGCCUGGGGUUCCGUGGUCAGCCAGCUCCACAUACUUGACAAGAAAAAAGUGGACAGCCUCUGAGGAGUGACAUCCAUUAUUGUCCUCUGGUUUAUGCACCUGCACACACAGAUACACACACACACAUACACACACACACAUACACACACACACACACACACACACACACACCUAGUGUACGAUGUACUGCUCGUAUCAUCAACAGUAACUAAGUCCUUUGUUGCUUCAUAGUUCUUCUGUUUACUCAGAGCUUGAAUUAUAUUCUCAUUGAGGCCUCCAUCUAGCCUCCACCAAAGGCAGUGUAAAGUCCCAGGAAUAUGAAAUUCUUUUUGCUCUAAGUUCUAUAGUGGAUCAUAUGUUUUCUCAGCAUUUGAACCUAGUUGCUGAUGCAGGAGUGGAACAUGCUGAAUACUUUCCUCAACAUCUAAACUGUGUUUCAUUAAUAGGGGAAAACAGACCUUUUCAUUUGCUUCAAUGGAAUCUAGAGUGAAGAAAUAAAUUUGCCAAAAAGGAAAGUAAUUGGCACACAUGUUAUAGCUGUUAGCUUGGUGUCUCUGUGGGAUUCCUAACAGUGGGAAUGGGGGUGUCUCUCACUCUUUUGCUUGCUCCUAGGAUUCUUUUUCUCCUACUUGGGUUGCCUAGCCCAGCCUUGAUCUGAGGAUUUCUGCCUAGUCUUAUUGUAAAUGGUUAUGCCUUGUUCUGUGGGUAUCCCUGAGAGGCCUGCUCUUUUCUGAAGGCAAACAGAGGAGGAGUGAAUCUGGGGAAGAGGG